UGAAAACGUUAUGAUCUUGAUGAUUAGUACUCCACUUGGCCAAAGCAUCUGCUACUUGAUUUGCCUCCCGAUAACAAUGUUGGAUCCGAUGAUGAUAUAUAUAUCCUUCAUAUGCCAGUCUCCUUCCAAUAUCAUGUUGUCAAUACCACCAUUUCAGCCCCUGUAAUCCGGCCUUUGCUUCAGCAAUGUGGCUACUUUAUGACCCAAUCAAUCUAGAGGCAAAUGCAUGCCAUGAUAAUAUUUCCAUCAGCAUCUCUGCGAAUUCCUUCAGCCCC
rnacentral:lncRNA from 1 species